rnacentral:lncRNA from 1 species
UAUUAUCUAUAGAAUCCAGAACAAGUGCUCAAAUGUAGUAAAUGCUCAUUAAAACUAGUUGAAUAAAUCAACAGGUAAAUGUGUAUGUGUGUGUGUGUGUUUCUGUCUCUCUCUGUGUGUAUGUGUGAUUACUAUUUCCAUAUUUAAAAACAGGUUGAAACUCAGGUUCAAGAUGGAUUAGAGUAAUACAUAUUAAUUUUAAUGGACUAUGCAUAAUAACUGUAAUGGCCAAACUGCACCAUUUUUGAGCUCUUAAGUAAAAGCCAGGUCCUGGGCUCCUUUCUAUAAUUUAUCUCAUUUAAUUCUCACAUACUGUGUGAAUAGGUAAUUAUUCUCAUUUUAGAAGUUGGGAUACUGAAGCUCAGAGCGGUUGAGUAAUUUUGCACAAUAUACUAAUGUGAGCCAGUGGCAGAGUUGGAACUUGAAACAUGUUUUCUCUGAUGCCAAGAGUCCCACUGUUUAAUGUUCAUGCAUUUCUAGUAGUUAGAUGCCAGCAUGCCAUAGCCAGUAGAUGUAAUUGAGUAUAAUAAGAAAUGCAUAGUGCAAAUUUUGUUAGAGACAGAAUUAUUAUUAAUAUUAGCCUUAGUAGAACCAUGAAAGCUUGCCUAAAACUAUUCAAAAUGUGGGAGCUAGUAUCUGGCUGCGCUUCCUCUCUUGGUUGUGAAAUUCUUUGGGCCAAGGGCUUUGGAAAUAGAAAUAUAUAUCUAUCCAAAUAUCUAAGUUAGUAUUAGGAUGACUUAUCUAAACUCAGUCAAGAAAGAGUGUAUGUGUAUAUAUAUAUAUAUAUACCUUUUUGAAAAAUAUUCUUUUCCAUUAUGGUCUCUCAUAGGACACUGAGUGUAGUUCUCUGUGCUGCACAGUAGGAUCUUGUGGAUUAUCCCCUCCACGUACGAUAGCUCACCUCUGCUAACUCCACAUUCUCACUCCAGCCCUCGCCCAACCCAUCCCCCUUGGCAGCCACAACUUUGGUCUCUAUCUCUGUGGGUCUGUUUCUUUUUCCCAGGUGGGUUCUUUGGUGUCAUUUUUUAGAUUCCGCAUAUAAGUGAUCCCAUAUGAUGUUUGUCUUUGUCUGACUUACUUCAAUUAGUAUGAUGAUCUCUAGGUCCAUCCCUGUUGGUGAUAAUGGUAUUAUUUCAUUAUUUUUUCAUGUCUGAGUACUUUUCCAUUGUAUAUAUGUACCACAUCUUCUUUAUCCAUUCCUCUGUUGAUAGACAUUUAGGUUGCCUCCACGUCUUGCCUAUUGUAAAUAGUGCCGCAGUGAACAUUGGGGUGUGUGAAUUACGGCUUUUCUCCAGAUAUAUGCCAAGGAGUGAGGUUGCUGGAUCAUAUGGUAGUUCUGAAGUUUUCUAGUUUUUGCAUAGCAUUCCUGUAAACAGAUACUCGGGCAUAUUUGAUUUUAUAUGUAUAUAUGUGUAUUUUUUUAGUUUAUAUUUAAGAAUUACUGGAUCAUAAAUAUUACAAUACUUCAUAUUUUUCAUUUUAAACAUUUUUUUGAAAGUAGCUGCAAUGUGAAUAUGAAGUCGUAUUUCACAUUUAAUACUUUAAUUUGAAUUUCUUCCUGACCAAAUGAUACUGAGUACUUUUUAAUAUGUUUAUUGUAUAUCUUUUAUGAAGUAUAAAUUCAAGUUUUUUCUCAUGGGUUACCUGUCUUUUGUUACUAAUUAGUAAGAAUUAAUUAUAUAUUUUGGAUAUAAGUCCUUAGUUGAAUAUAUAUGUUCAGAGAACUUCUAACUUUGUGAAAUGAAAGAUUUUAUAUAACAAUAGUUUAAAUUUAUAUAAAUAGUCUAAAAUUGUAUAUAUAUUAUGUGUACAUAUAAACAUGAGAGACACCAAAAAUUUCCAACAUUAUGUAACAAAUGCUUGAGUUUUUAGGACUGUUACUCCUUUUUUUUUUUUUUAGUAUUUUAUUUUAUUUUAAUUUUAUAAUGAUUUUCAUUUUCUCCAUUAUAGCUGGUUUACAGGGUUCUGUCAGUUUUCUCCUGUACAACAAGGUGACCCAGUCACACAUACAUGUAUACAUUCUUUUUGCUCACAUUAUCAUGUUCCAUCAUAAGUGACUAGAUAUAGGGGAGUGGGAUGGAUUGGGAAUUUGGGGUUAAUAGAUGCAAACUGUUGCCUUUGGAAUGGAUAAGCAAUGAGAUCCUGCUGUGUAGCACUGUUACUCCUUUUAAAUCCUCCUCACCACAGAAGCUCCUAACACAGUGCUCUUCAAGAGAUACAGGGAACAUCAUUUAUUGCUGACUUCCUGGUGUUUGCAAAAUAAGAUAGGAUUCUUGAGAUUAAGAAAUUUACAUUUCUUCUUCAAGACCAAGAAUGAAAAAAGACCACCUGGAUAUUAUUUUCUAUGAGAACUCUUAAGCAAUCUAGUUGGAAAAUUCCGAUAGUAAUAAAAUUUUGGAUUGCAGCAUGACUCAGUUAAAUUCAUUCCAAAUACUUUCUACUCUUAAGCAAAACCAAAAAUUAAAUGAGAGCAACUUUUAAAGUCUGGGUUGAGUUUCGACACUCGAAUGUCAAACAGUACUACAUCUCAAUUUCUGAGGGUUAGAAACAGCAAGAUGCCACUUGCUCUUUUCAUGGCAAGGCUCUCAACAUUCUUUAUAGAGCUUGUCAUGGUGUGUGUCCCAAAUGCUGUCAAACAGCCUGCUAUAUAUCUUUCUAAAUGUAGGUUUGAAUUAAAAAUCUUCAGGCAUUUAUAGGAAAGUCGUAUAGAUAUAGCUGAGGGGACUCUGAGAUAGACAAAUGACUUCACAUUCUUCCUAUUAAGAACUGACCAGAAAUAAGCACAACGACUGUGUUCUGUUUAGAGAAACAAAAGAAGACUGAUAAUUUAAUUAGUUUAAAAUAAGGUUAUAGUGACGUCUUGUGCUCCAGCCAGCUAGUAAGAUGUCAUUACAUAUUUUCAAGCAAAUAAACUCCCUCCACCUCCAAGGAAGGAAAUGUAUUUUUAUUCAGAGAUAUAAAACUCCUUUUUAGAACUUAUUUGACACCGAUUCUUUAAUCAUUGUCACAAACAUUCAGUUUCUUAAGUAAGCUUGCUGAUUUCAUGAACUGGGCUAGAAAUCAGGAAGGCUAAAUUUUCCAUUUUCAUUAACUGACUCAUUUAUGUAUCCUGGCAGAGGGAGGAAAAGAAUAACUAGAAAUGUACUACUUUUUCUUCUCCAUGAAAUGGGGAUCCUGAGGUUUGGUGAGGCAAAUAGGAUAGGAUGUGCUAUGCAGUCUGAAAAUCCAUCCUCCUCCCCUCUUGGACCUUGAUACCUUUAUUGAGAUAGUCUUAAUUCCUUUUUCAUCUUUGUCAAAGAGAAAACACACACACAUCCUGUCUCUGUUCAUGUUGAACAAUAUUCAGAAUCCUGUCUAAUUCUCCUAUUGUAUAAGCAGUUUUCAUGGCUCAUGUUCAUUUGAAAGAGUAACUCUCAUAUAUCAAAAAGCAUGUUUACAACGCAGAUAACAGAAUUUUCAGGACACUUCACAGAUGUUUUGAAGCCUCUCUAUGUUUCUCCAAAUAAGAAACUGUAGCAUGGAGUUCCUGUAGUGGCUCAGCGGUAAUGAACCUGAUUAGUAUCCAUGAGGAUGAGGGUUUGAUCCCUGGCCUCACUCAGUGGGUUAAGAAUCCCGCUUUGCCGUGAGCUGUGGUGUAGGUUUCAGACUCGGCUUAGAUCUGGCAUUGCUGUGGCUGUGGCAUAGGCUAGCAGCUAUAGCUCUGAUU